rnacentral:rRNA from 1 species
UGGGGAAUAUUGGACAAUGGGCGCAAGCCUGAUCCAGCAAUACCGCGUGUGUGAAGAAGGCCUUAGGGUUGUAAAGCACUUUCAAUUGGGAGGAAAACCUGCCGGUCAAUACCCGGUAGCUUGACAUUACCUUUAGAAGAAGCACCGGCUAACUCCGUGCCAGCAGCCGCGGUAAUACGGAGGGUGCGAGCGUUAAUCGGAAUUACUGGGCGUAAAGCGUGCGUAGGCGGUUCGUUAAGUCAGAUGUGAAAGCCCUGGGCUCAACCUGGGAACUGCAUUUGAAACUGGCGGACUAGAGUUGAGUAGAGGGGAGUGGAAUUUCAGGUGUAGCGGUGAAAUGCGUAGAUAUCUGAAGGAACACCAGUGGCGAAGGCGACUCCCUGGACUMRAACUGACGCUGAGGUACGAAAGCGUGGGUAGCAAACAGGAUUAGAUACCCUGGUAGUCCACGCCGUAAACGAUGUCAACUAGCCGUUGGUCCUAUUUACAGGAUUAGUGGCGCAGCUAACGCAUUAAGUUGACCGCCUGGGGAGUACGGCCGCAAGGUUA